rnacentral:rRNA from 2 species
AAAGAGCUCGUAGGCGGUGUGUCACGUCUGCCGUGAAAACCUGCGGCUUAACCGUGGGCGUGCGGUGGAUACGGGCAUCACUUGAGUUCGGUAGGGGAGACUGGAAUUCCUGGUGUAGCGGUGGAAUGCGCAGAUAUCAGGAGGAACACCGGUGGCGAAGGCGGGUCUCUGGGCCGAUACUGACGCUGAGGAGCGAAAGCGUGGGGAGCGAACAGGAUUAGAUACCCUGGUAGUCCACGCCGUAAACGUUGGGCGCUAGGUGUGGGGCGCUGUUCACGUGUCCCGUGCCGUAGCUAAC